CACAAGAGAGCAAGCCACCACA
rnacentral:siRNA from 1 species